rnacentral:rRNA from 2 species
CGCCAGGGGACUACAAGCCCAGCUUAAAACCCAAAGGACUUGGCGGUGUCUCAGACCCACCUAGAGGAGCCUGUUCUAGAACCGAUAAACCCCGUUAAACCUCACCACUUCUUGUUUAACCCGCCUAUAUACCGCCGUCGUCAGCUUACUCCGUGAGGACUCAACAGUAAGCAAAAUGAGUAGAACCCAGAACGUCAGGUCGAGGUGUAGCACACGAAAUGGGAAGAAAUGGGCUACAUUUUCUAUUACAGAAAACUACGAAUGGUGUACUGAAACGUACUCUUGAAGGAGGAUUUAGAAGUAAAAAGCAAAUAGAGAGUCCUUUUGAACUAGGCUCUGAGACACGC